rnacentral:sRNA from 12 species
UUAGUUUCUUUUAUGUCCUGGCAACCGAAAGGAAACUUUUGAGAAGCUGGGUUAUACGCUCUUUUACGAGGGCAACUUAGUUGUCAUAAAAUACAACCAUAACCCCUAAUGUGUGAAAUGGUGGUGAGAACCAAUAAGUGAAAGAGCUAUGCUCU